CCGGGAAACCGAACUGGAGACUCCAACUAGGGUCGGACGACGGAAUCGGAGGGCCGUGGCCGCCGAUAGGAGGCGGUGGGGGAGCUGGUCGCCGCACUGAAUUGUUGGAGGCUCAUUCGGGACGUGAUGCUGGCCAUCCGGUCCGUCCUCCGCGACGCCAUGGCCGAUUUCUCCAUCCUUUACCGGAUCAGAAGCCUUCGGAGCCUACUCAAGUUCCUCAGAUCCAGCGUCGGCUCCGAUGAUUCCAUUCGCCUAUUCCUCCGCUCUCCAACCAUUCCCCAAAUGCGAGUUUCUUGACAGAAGACUUUCAGUUUGUUGAUACAGACUUUUUUUCCCCAGCAUUGUAAGGGAUGUCAUGCAAUCGUGAAAGUCAUAGAUCUUAAUUAAGGAUGAGCAAGCGGAUGGCGGCAUAAGAUCAGGAAAAGUUGGAGAUGGUUAAGGAUAUCUGGAACAAAUUUGAAGGUGGUUUAUGGGGGUAGAAGGGAUAGAAUUCUUUCAGGGUGUCGUCAAUGAAAAGAAACAAAAACAAGAAUGAAUUCACUUAGAAUGCAACUCGGUGAGGGACUUAAUUGGUGGGUUGAGUGUCUCUUGCAUUGUAUCAGUUGGUGAAGGUCGGCGCUGACCGAUCAAGUCAUGGCUGUAAGGAUGAAAUCUAACACACUGGUUUAAUCUCAAGUAUCGAAAAUGAGUUAAGACCUUAGAUUUAUAAGGUCCGAUAGAUACACCAAUGAAUUUUGUGAUUGAUAGUCGGCUUCAACUAUCUUUUUAGGUCUUCAAUUUUCAAUAUUUUAGUCAAUAUAGGACUAAAACAGUUGUAGAAGUCCCUAACUGACCCCAACCCUAAUGGAUGUUGUUUCAUGGUUCUGAUGA